CAUGCCGAGCGGUAUAAUCUUUCGGGAUCUUGAGAGCGGCGUACGGGUGCGGAACACGUGUGCAACCUGCCUUAUUGGGGGAUAGCCUUUCAAAGGAAGAUUAAUACCCCAUAAUAUUUUGAAUGGCAUCAUUUAAAAUUGAAAACUCCGGUGGAUAGAGAUGGGCACGCGCAAGAUUAGAUAGUUGGUGAGGUAACGGCUCACCAAGUCUGCGAUCUUUAGGGGCUGAGAGGGUGAUCCCCCACACUGGUACUGAACACGGACCAACUCUACGGGAGGCAGCAGUGAGGAAUAUUGGACAAUGGGUGAGAGCCUGAUCCAGCCAUCCCGCGUGAAGGACGACGGCCCUAUGGGUUGUAAACUUCUUUUGUAUAGGGAUAAACCUUUCCACGUGUGGGAAGCUGAAGGUACUAUACGAAUAAGCACCGGCUAACUCCGUGCCAGCAGCCGCGGUAAUACGGAGGGUGCAAGCGUUAUCCGGAUUUAUUGGGUUUAAAGGGUCCGUAGCGGAUCUGUAAGUCAGUGGUGAAAUCUCACAGCUUAACUGUGAAACUGCCAUUGAUACUGCAGGUCUUGAGUGUUAUUGAAGUAGCUGGAAUAAGUAGUGUAGCGGUGAAAUGCAUAGAUUUACUUAAACACCAAUUGCGAAGCAGUUACUAAGCAACAACUGACGCUAUGGACGAAAGCGUGGGGAGCAACAGGAUUAGAUACUGGUAGUACGCCUGAUGCUAUCGUUUUUGGGCUUUCGGGUUCAAGACUAACGAAAGGAUAAUUACCACCUGGGGAGUACGUUCGCAAAAUGAAACUCAAAGGAAUUGAGGGGCCCCACAACGGUGGAUUAUGGUUAAUUCGAUGAUGAGGAAUUAGGCUUUGGAAAUGAGGAGAAAUUUUUUUUUGCUGCACAGUCCGGUUACAAGUACUUAUGGCUCAAGGAACACGCGUUGAUCU
rnacentral:rRNA from 1 species